UAAACAUUGAGAGCAAGAAAGAGAGAGGGUUCGGCUAGAACAAAAAAAAAAAAAAAUCUUGAAGCCAAAUCUUUGAUGCAAAAAUCUAUUUCUUCUUGAAUUCCUAUUAAGUUGGAAACCCUCUUCAAUGUGAUACAAAUUUGGAAGAAAAAGAGUACUUUUUUUACAAAGUGGAAAUUCUUGAAAAAGAUAUUGGAGAGCCCGAGACCUGAGUCGGGAUUGGUUGGCAAGCGAUCGAGAUUUGGUAGUGAGCGAUCGAGGUACGGACGUUCAUUUUGGUGAUCCCCCAGUAUAGGAUACAUACUCUGCCACUUGGAUUACUCCUUUUGAUUCGGAGCUCAUACUUUUGGUACAUAUCUUCUGCUACACAUAUUAUGUAUAUAUAUGACUAUUUGGGUACGGCGGGGCCCUGUCCCGUCAUAUGUUUCUGUUAUGUUUUGUAGAGGCCUGUAGUCAUGUAUGUGGGUCAUGGGUCAUGUUUGUUCGUUUGUGAUUAUGAUUUCGUCUUAAUGCGGCCCCGUUUACUAUUAUGGCCAAAACGGCCCAUUUGUCUGUGUAUGUGCGUAUAUCUGGCGAUGUGUAUUCCGCCAAUAUAUUGGAUUUGGAUAUGAUGUUUCUGUACGGGCGACCGCUUAAGA